rnacentral:rRNA from 1 species
UACGAAGGGGGCUAGCGUUGCUCGGAAUUACUGGGCGUAAAGCGCACGUAGGCGGGUCGUUAAGUCAGGGGUGAAAUCCUGGAGCUCAACUCCAGAACUGCCUUUGAUACUGAGGAUCUUGAGUUCGGGAGAGGUGAGUGGAACUGCGAGUGUAGAGGUGAAAUUCGUAGAUAUUCGCAAGAACACCAGUGGCGAAGGCGGCUCACUGGCCCGAUACUGACGCUGAGGCACGAAAGCGUGGGGAGCAAACAGG